UCCAAACCAUUCUUCCCUGAGCUAAAGAGUAGAUUUCAGAAAUGGGUUUCAAUAGUGGUAUUCCUGAAAGAUUUUCAUCCUUAGGUGGAUCUCUCUCUCUUUUUUUCUCUCUCUCCUCCUCCCUACCACCCCACCCCACUGUUCCUUAUUUUCCCAGGUAAUGUUAUACUCUUCUUUAAAAUGAUUACUUAAAAGAAGACUCCUGUAUCUGCUCAGCAUGAACAACCAAAAGGCGGAAGCUCCAGUCCUCACAAAGACUGGUUGUCCAGCCUCUGCAUUUAUGAGAGACCUGAGUGACCCUCAGUCCGGUUCAAACUGCUUCUCUCCGCGUACGGACCUUAGGAGCCAUUCUUUCCUCCUGGCGCGAUACUGGACUGCGAAGCCUCCCCUGAGGAGACCAGAAGUCCGUUUGCUACUGGAAAGCACUCAGCAUCCUCCCCGCGGAUGUAGCCCUGUCCGGGUUAAGGCGUUGGCUGGUCCACUUCGACCGGAGGAAGAACGUGGAAGAGAAGACCGCCUGCGUUUUUUCCCCGCCGGGCUGCCCAGCACCUGUGAGCUCCCCGCUGCGCCUCGGGCCUGGCUGCCUUUGUUUCUUCGGCCUACAGCGCUGGGCAGCCCCUGAGCCCUCGGCCUGCCUCCGCAGCAGCUGGGAACCAGGCAGCCCAGCGGGCCCGCGGCAAGACGUUACCAGAGCUGCCGCCGGGACCCCAGCCGCCGUCCGGAGAAUUCGAGCUUCCAGGCGAGCCGCCUUGCCAGGCCCCAACGCCGGACCCGGAGCUGGUGGGCUGCCGCGCACAGCCUGCUCCGCCAGCUCGCCUCUGCCUAAAUUCCACGCAGACCCUCGACUUGGGCCAAAGAUCCCCUUCUAAACACAGAUAUUAUUCAGAAUAAAAACUUUAUUUUUUGUUUUGUUUCUCAGAAUGUGAGCAGCAAGGAUUGUAGAACUCUCAAAACAAAUCUAGCAUUUUUCGCGCUUACAGACUGUUUUUUCAUUUUUGCCGGAUGUUACAAACCUAAACCACUGUUUUCAAAAGCUGGAUCCUCUCUGGUUUUAUUGCAUCAUUACCGUUUUUAUACAGGAAUUAUAUUUCCCUUUCAAAUAAAAAAAUUUUCUAUGUACGCCAACACACCAUUGAACAAAAGGCCCAAGAACCCUUCUGAACAAUCAGGGUACAGAAUUUCUUUAAUAUAAAUACAAACGGAUGGGGAUAAAUAAUAUUUAAAACUUAGAUUAUUCAAUGCUUGCAAAAAAUAUAAAUAAAUCUGACUGUUCACCAGCAUACACACACGGAAAGACGUACACUUAAUCAUCCUUGCACAGGGAGCCCCUGUUUCAAAGCGCCUUUGAUUUUUUUUCUCGCUCUUUACAAGAAGUGCAAUUUAAAAAAACUAAAAAUUAAAAAAAAAAGUAAUCGCUUCCCCUCGGGAGCCAUAAUGUACGAACAAAUUCACAUUGAAAAUUCGACUAGAAAAUUUGUUCAUAUACCCUGUUUCUGAUCAAAGAGUGGAGAAGGUAAAGGGUGCAGGGCCAGCGGCCAAGCUAGGGGCGGGAAGAGAUAAAUAUCGCUACUGAUACUGACAGCCAUUCCAGCAACCAAGAUUGCUACGUCACAUAAACUAUAAAAACGCGUUACCAAAGUGGGGGGGGCGCAGCGACGGGAAAGGGAGUGAGUGGGGGGGAGCAGAGAGAGGAGAGAGAAAACGGAAGGGCAGGAAGAACCUUAAAAAAAAAAAAAAAGCAACCAAAGAAGAAGGGGUGGGGGGGGGAGACUCUCCUGGCGCAUAGCCCCGAGCCCACCAUCACAGGGAAGAAGAAAGUUGGGGUGUCCCUUCCUCUCCGCUCUUUGGCCUCCUCCGGAGAGCCUCCUUCUGAGGAUCUUGGUAAGGGGCAAGGAGGCAAAGGGGUGCUUGGGUCGUCAGUUUUGUCUCCACUUUAAGACUCCUAUUUCCCAGAAGAACGGGGUGACUUCCCACCUAGCCCCUUCUUGGACUUUCCUGCCCCCAAGAGCGAAGUUUGCACAAAAAAAUUCAGACAAUUGCCCUAUCUGACCAUGCUGGAUUUCAGAAGCUGAGGUUGUUAGGCACUUAAUCCACCCUUGUUCAGGAAUAUGACCCAUCUCCUCCAAAUGAGCCCCUUGUGGCCAAGGAGGUGGGGAGAAAAAAACUCUGGGUGGAACACAUUUGUGUGUGUGUGUGUGU